UACGUAGGGGGCUAGCGUUGUCCGGAAUCAUUGGGCGUAAAGAGCGUGUAGGCGGCCCGGUAAGUCCGCUGUGAAAGUCGGGGGCUCAACCCUCGGAAGCCGGUGGAUACUGUCGAGCUAGAGUACGGAAGAGGCGAGUGGAAUUCCUGGUGUAGCGGUGAAAUGCGCAGAUAUCAGGAGGAACACCAAUUGCGAAGGCAGCUCGCUGGGACGUUACUGACGCUGAGACGCGAAAGCGUGGGGAGCAAACAGG
rnacentral:rRNA from 1 species